rfam:Triticum aestivum genome assembly, contig: Triticum_aestivum_CS42_TGACv1_scaffold_604741_7DL
UUUGUACUCCUCCGUCCGGAAAUACUUGUUCAAGGAAUGGAUGCAUCUAGAUGUAUUUUAGUUCUAGAUACAUCCAUUUAUAUCCAUUUCUACGACGAAUAUUUCCGGACGGAGGGAGUAUUAA